UACUAGGUUACAAUGUAGAGUGAUGC
rnacentral:piRNA from 1 species